GACGAACGCUGGCGGCGUGCCUAAUACAUGCAAGUAGAACGCUGAAGGAGGAGCUUGCUUCUCUGGAUGAGUUGCGAACGGGCGAGUAACGCGUAGGUAACCUGCCUGGUAGCGGGGGAUAACUAUUGGAAACGAUAGCUAAUACCGCAUAAUAGUAGAUGUUGCAUGACAUUUGCUUAAAGGGUGCAAUUGCAUCACUACCAGAUGGACCUGCGUUGUAUUAGCUAGUUGGUGGGGUAACGGCUCACCAAGGCGACGAUACAUAGCCGACCUGAGAGGGUGAUCGGCCACACUGGGACUGAGACACGGCCCAGACUCCUACGGGAGGCAGCAGUAGGGAAUCUUCGGCAAUGGACGGAAGUCUGACCGAGCAACGCCGCGUGAGUGAAGAAGGUUUUCGGAUCGUAAAGCUCUGUUGUAAGAGAAGAACGAGUGUGAGAGUGGAAAGUUCACACUGUGACGGUAUCUUACCAGAAAGAGACGGCUAACUACGUG
rnacentral:rRNA from 1 species